GUCCUUUCGUAGUUCUUCAGCAGGAUGAUUGCGUGUUCAUGCUCCUAUGUGAGAUGUGCUUUCCUCAAACCUCAAACCUUGCUGGCAAGCAGUGAGUCAAGGCUGUUCUGAGU
ensembl:snoRNA